rnacentral:rRNA from 1 species
UACAGGGGGGGGCAAGCGUUGUUCGGAAUUACUGGGCGUAAAGGGCUCGUAGGCGGCCAACUAAGUCACACGUGAAAUCCCCAGGCUUAACCUGGGAACUGCGUGUGAUACUGGAUGGCUUGAAUCCGGGAGAGGGAUGCGGAAUUCCAGGUGUAGCGGUGAAAUGCGUAGAUAUCUGGAGGAACACCGGUGGCGAAGGCGGCGAUCCUGGACCGGGUAUUGACGCUGAUGAGCGAAAGCCAGGGGAGCAAACGGGG